GUCUGAGAGGAUGAUCAGCCACACUGGAACUUAGACACGGUCCAGACUCCUACGGGAGGCAGCAGUGGGGAAUAUUGGACAAUGGGGGCAACCCUGAUCCAGCAAUGCCGCGUGCGUGAUGAAGGCCUUAGGGUUGUAAAGCGCUUUCGGCGGGGAAGAUGAUGACGGUACCCGCAGAAGAAGCCCCGGCUAACUCCGUGCCAGCAGCCGCGGUAAUACGGAGGGGGCUAGCGUUGUUCGGAAUUACUGGGCGUAAAGGGCGCGUAGGCGGCGAUUUAAGUUAGGCGUGAAAGCCCCGGGCUUAACCUGGGAACUGCGCUUGAUACUGGAUUGCUUGAGGACGGAAG
rnacentral:rRNA from 1 species